UACAGAGACUGCAAGCGUUAUUCGGAUUCACUGGGCGUAAAGGGUGCGCAGGCGGUCGGGUGUGUCAGAUGUGAAAUCCCGAGGCUCAACCUCGGAACUGCGUCUGAAACUACUCGACUAGAGUACUGGAGAGGGAAACGGAAUUCACGGUGUAGCAGUGAAAUGCGCAGAUAUCAGGAGGAACACCGAUGGCGAAGGCAGAUCUCUGGGCCGUGAACUGACGCUGGAGGAGCGAAAGCGUGGGGAGCAAACAGG
rnacentral:rRNA from 1 species